rfam:Felis catus isolate Cinnamon breed Abyssinian chromosome B2, whole genome shotgun sequence.
ACCUGGGUGGCUCAGUUGGUUGGGCAUCUGACUUCGGCUCAGGUCACGAUCUCACAGUUGGUGGGUUCGAGUCCCACGUCGGGCU